rnacentral:lncRNA from 10 species
UGUCCCUGUCUGACAGCUUUGAAGAGAGCAGUGGUUCUCCCAGCAUGCAGCUGGAGAUCUGAGAACGGGCAGACUGCCUCCUCAGGUGGGUCCCUGACCCCUGACCCCCGAGCAGCCUAACUGGGAGGCACCCCCCAGCAGGGGCACACUGACACCUCACACUGCAGGGUACUCCAAAAGACCUGCAGCUGAGGGUCCUCUCUGUUAGAAGGAAAACUAACAAACAGAAAGGACAUCCACACCAAAAACCCAU